UACGUAGGGUGCAAGCGUUGUCCGGAAUUAUUGGGCGUAAAGAGCUCGUAGGCGGUUUGUCGCGUCUGCUGUGAAAACUCGGGGCUCAACUCCGAGCUUGCAGUGGGUACGGGCAGACUAGAGUGCGGUAGGGGAGACUGGAAUUCCUGGUGUAGCGGUGGAAUGCGCAGAUAUCAGGAGGAACACCGGUGGCGAAAGCGGCAUCCUGGACCGGCAUUGACGCUGAGGCGCGAAAGCCAGGGGAGCAAACGGG
rnacentral:rRNA from 1 species